ensembl:rRNA 5S_rRNA 5S ribosomal RNA
GUCUAUAACCAUGCUACCCUGAACACACCUGAUCCCGUCUGAUCCUGUCUGAUCCCAGAAGCUAAGCAGGGUCAGGCCUGGUUAGUACUUGGAUGGGAGACCACCUAGGAGGACCAGGUGCAGUAGGUG